rnacentral:rRNA from 1 species
GACGAACGCUGGCGGCGUGCCUAAUACAUGCAAGUAGAACGCUGAAGGAGGAGCUUGCUUCUCUGGAUGAGUUGCGAACGGGUGAGUAACGCGUAGGUAACCUGCCUGGUAGCGGGGGAUAACUAUUGGAAACGAUAGCUAAUACCGCAUAAUAGUAGAUGUUGCAUGACAUUUGCUUAAAAGGUGCAAUUGCAUCACUACCAGAUGGACCUGCGUUGUAUUAGCUAGUUGGUGAGGUAACGGCUCACCAAGGCAACGAUACAUAGCCGACCUGAGAGGGUGAUCGGCCACACUGGGACUGAGACACGGCCCAGACUCCUACGGGAGGCAGCAGUAGGGAAUCUUCGGCAAGGGACGGAAGUCUGACCGAGCAACGCCGCGUGAGUGAAGAAGGUUUUCGGAUCGUAAAGCUCUGUUGUAAGAGAAGAACGAGUGUGAGAGUGGAAAGUUCACACUGUGACGGUAUCUUACCAGAAAGGGACGGCUAACUACGUG